rnacentral:tRNA from 1 species
ACAUUCGUGGUGUAAUUGGAAGCACAUUCGAACCGUAUUCGAGAGGUCUCGGGUUCGAGUCCCGGCGAGAGCA